rnacentral:pre_miRNA from 1 species
AAGAUAAGUGCCUCUCAGAUUAGCCUCAGACAACGCCUAAAAUCCCAAUUUUAGGAUCAUAUAAUAUAAACUUUAAUUUUAGUAACUAAAGUUUAAUUAAUUAAUGACCCUUCAUAAAAAGGGUUUUAGGCAAGUCAUCCUUGGCUAUCAGAGCAGGCACUUUAUCU